UGGAGAUUUGCUCUUCCUGCUUGGCUGCCCCGCGAAUAAACCCUCUGCUGCAGACCUCGGCAUCUCGCGUCUGGCUGGCUCCAGGUUGGGCACAAACGAACCUGGUUCGGCGACGCCAUCGCUGCCCUCCUGACUCCCAGACAGAGCAACUGGGUUAAGUGAGACAACACAGCUAAGGUCUCCCAGCUUGGUUUCCUCAUUAGGCACGAACACCUCCCGUGACUGUCUCAAGGCUGUCUCACUUUACUGUGUCACACAAGGUGCAGCAGAGGCUGUGCACGCCCCUGCCUUGGCUGCUCUCCAACCUGGACUGAAUCCUCCUGGCCAGAAAGACCUCUGGUCACUGCAAAAGCUCUCCCGAGCCAGAAAGCUUCACUGAAAUCCAAGUGAGAAUAAAACGUUGCUUUACAGUAACUGGGGCAGCUAACCUGAGGGAGAGGAUUGGAGGAGAGUGUUCCUCAGAUCGACGAAGAGCUUCCCACCAUAGCUGAGGGGAAACAAGAACCAGAGGGAGGAGGAGAAGACAGAACUAAGAGGUGCUGGGCCCCACGCCGAGGACCAAGAUGGAGACACUCCUCCUAUAGGGGAUAGGGGCCAGGCCUGAGCCAGGGGCUCCCCCAUGCCAGUUCAUCAUCACCCCCACGCUCAGUGUUCCCAGGUCUGGUGGAUCUAAGAGACCCUGCUGGGCCAGCCCAGGACACUGCUCGAAGCUUAAGGACACGUUGGAGAAGCACAAAGCUGCCCCAGCAAGUGAGGAUGAACCCUGUGAGUUGUCCGUGAAGGAGAGCCCUCUGGCCAGCCAAGCCCAGCAGCUGUCACUUGCAAUGGUUUGUUUUCCUUCCUUUAUAGGGUCUUGAUUUCGGGCCACAAUAUCUUCCUUUACUCACUGACUGCUAAUAAAGAAUGUUCCUUUAUUUUAAAAGAAGGAAGGGGUGAAUACUCGAGUAUUAAAUACUUAUAAUACCUGGGUACUGCAUUUGUAAUACUUGAGCAGUUCCUAUGCUAAUGGGCAAAGGGAGGAAAUUAUUUUUGUAUCUUUAACCAAGUUUGUAGUCUCUGUGUUUUUUUUCCCCUCCUUACAAUAUAAUUUACUCUGCU